GGCUCUUGACUCUGCCUCUGUGAGACUGGGAAGGUGAGAGAGUAGCUGGAGAUCAGCCCUCCUGUCUCUCCUCGCUCUGUGUAGCCUUUGCUGCUUUUGUCCUGUUACUCAUCACAGCCACAGAAUGCAAACUAGGACACUAGACUUCAGCAGCCGUAUCACUUCUGAUGGCCAGGAGGAUGUUGGGUACAAGUCGUGACGAAUUGGCAGAGCUCUGGGAUAGAAAUCUGUAACUUGAUCAAACUUGCUCUUUCCUACACAGCUCUCCAGGGGAUGGUGAUCCACACAGCACUGUGGCGUUUCCAGCUUGCUUUUCUUCAUUAAGAAGAUCGUGUGAGGGAUAAACCUGACAUGAGGCUCGGGGACGCUCUCCGGCUACUGAAAUUGGAUGUUAACCAGGUCAAAAGACUCCUCCCAGCAAGACUCACUUACCAGCAGGUGUCCCAUUGUGUCCCCAUGUCUUCCCAUUUCCAUUUGCACUUAGAAAAGCUUAUUAAUUUUUUUUAUCUUCCCUUAGGAAUAUCAGCUUGUAAAACAUAGCGUGAGAGAUGUUUGAAGGAUGGCCACCCUCUGUCUGAUGCCCUGGAGGAGACCAGAGAGUCCUGCUGGCAGGGAAUGAACUACUGCCUCAGGAACAAAUAGUGAUGGAGAAGAGGCUUGUAGCUCCCAUAUUCUUAUUUCUGUUGAAGGGAAGAAUAACUUUAGGGUACCAGUUCUUAGUGAGCAGACCCUCUGAGAUUAGUGCAAGGUCUUAUUGCUCUUAGGUCCAAUACAGCAUGACUAGCCACAUAUCGUUUCUCAGAGCAGCUGAAUUCUUUCAGGGGUGGCUCUGCUGUUAUACCUCUGUAUAUUCUUUCUAGGCUGCAAUCUGUGGCUCUGCAUGCAGUAAAUAUCCCACAAAGUCUAAUUUGGGGAGUAUAGCAUGUAUCAGCACACUGGAGUUGGCUUGGCGUUUCUGCUUCCACUAGGAGGCCAGGAGACUCUUUUUCCUUAAGUACUUUACAAUCCUUCAGAAUUUUUCACUUUUCCUCUUGGAGGGAGAAAAUGGAGCUGGAGACCCUCAUGAGGCAGAGCUAAUUUGAACUUGGAGAGAAUGGGGAAUUCCACGGCUUUGGAGAAAGGCACGGGGACGAGAAUGCAUUUCACAUCAAACAUUUGGAUUCAAGGGGUGGUCUCCAUGUGGGGCAAAACUGCAACAGCUUUUGUAUGUAACUUAAAGAAAAAAAAA